rnacentral:rRNA from 1 species
CCUACGGGUGGCAGCAGUGAGGAAUAUUGGUCAAUGGGCGCGAGCCUGAACCAGCCAAGUAGCGUGAAGGAUGACGGCCCUACGGGUUGUAAACUUCUUUUAUAAAGGAAUAAAGUGAGGCACGUGUGCCUUUUUGUGUGUAUUUUAUGAAUAAGGAUCGGCUAACUCCGUGCCAGCAGCCGCGGUAAUACGGAGGAUCCGAGCGUUAUCCGGAUUUAUUGGGUUUAAAGGGAGCGUAGAUGGGUUGUUAAGUCAGUUGUGAAAGUUUGCGGCUCAACCGUGGAAUUGCAGUUGAUACUGGCAGCCUUGAGUACAGUUGAGGUAGGCGGAAUUCGUGGUGUAGCGGUGAAAUGCUUAGAUAUCACGAAGAACUCCGAUUGCGAAGGCAGCCUACUAGGCUGCCACUGACGUUGAGGCUCGAAAGUGUGGGUAUCAAACAGGAUUAGAUACCCCUGUAGUC